CCUACGGGAGGCUGCAGUAGGGAAUUUUCGUCAAUGGGCGCAAGCCUGAACGAGCAAUGCCGCGUGAACGAGGAAGGUCUUCGGAUCGUAAAGUUCUGUUGACGGGGAAAAAGAGCGGAGAGAGGACAUGGUCUCCGAUUGAUAUUACCCUUCGAGGCAGUCACGGCUAACUACGUGCCAGCAGCCGCGGUAAUACGUAGGUGGCGAGCGUUAUCCGGAAUGAUUGGGCGUAAAGGGUGCGUAGGCGGCCUGCUAAGUCUGGAGUGAAAGGUACCGGCUCAACCGGUACAGGCUCUGGAAACUGGCGGGCUAGAGAGCAGGAGAGGGCGGUGGAACUCCAUGUGUAGCGGUAAAAUGCGUAGAUAUAUGGAAGAACACCAGUGGCGAAGGCGGCCGCCUGGCCUGUGACUGACGCUGAGGCACGAAAGCGUGGGGAGCAAAUAGGAUUAGAUACCCCAGUAGUC
rnacentral:rRNA from 1 species